rnacentral:lncRNA from 1 species
GAAACAUCCAUGUCUGAUUAGCAUGAAGGUUAUGAGGAGAACGUGAUCACAGCCAAGGUAGUCUUCUCAAAAAGGUGCAGAGAGCCUGGCCACACAGCAAGAAGGAAUAAAGUGAACAAGCAAAGAAAUGCAAAGGAGGAAGACGACAGAAGUAGUGUGCCAAUUUUAUCACAUUGUAUCAAGGGUAUGUACUAUCGACCUGGUUUACCACUG